rnacentral:rRNA from 1 species
UACGUAGGGUGCAGGCGUUAAUCGGAAUUACUGGGCGUAAAGCGUGCGCAGGCGGUUUGCUAAGACAGGUGUGAAAUCCCCGGGCUUAACCUGGGAACUGCGCUUGUAACUGGCAAGCUAGAGUGUGGCAGAGGGGGGUGGAAUUCCAGGUGUAGCAGUGAAAUGCGUAGAGAUGUGGAGGAACACCGAUGGCGAAGGCAGCCCCCUGGGCUAACACUGACGCUCAUGCACGAAAGCGUGGGGAGCAAACAGG